GAGGGUAUAGCUCAAGUGAUAGAGUGCAUGCUUAGCAUGCAUGAGGUCCUGGGUUCAAUCCCCAGUACCUCCU
rfam:Camelus ferus unplaced genomic scaffold scaffold472, whole genome shotgun sequence.